rnacentral:tRNA from 1 species
GGAGCUUUACUCAAGUGGUUAAGAGGACACCCUGCUAAGGUGUUAGGUCGUUUCCGCGACGCGUCGGUUCGAUCCCGACAGGCUCCGCCA